rnacentral:ncRNA from 1 species
GAGAGCACAGAACGAUGAAAGUUGUAAGCUGUGUUCGGGGGGGAGUUAUUGUCUAUCGUUGGCCUCUAUGGUAGAAAGAUCGGAAGAGCGGUU